GGAUGUGAGGGCGAUCUGGCUGCGACAUCUGUCACCUCAUUGAUCGCCAGGGUUGAUUCGGCUGAUCUGGCUGGCUAGGCGGGUGUCCCCUUCCUCCCUCUCCGCUCCAUGUGCGUCCCUCCCGAAGCUGCGUGCUUGGUCGAAGAGGACGACCUUCCCCAACAGAGGAGGAUCGUUCUUCCGUCAAGGGUAUACGAGUAGCUGCGCUCCCCUGCUAGAACCUCCAAACAAGCUCUCAAGGUCCAUUUGUAGGAGAACGUAGGGUAGUCAAGCUUCAGACUCCAGACACAUCCAAAUGAGGCACUGCACGUGGCAGUGUGCCUUUCUAA
ensembl:misc_RNA 7SK 7SK RNA